rnacentral:hammerhead_ribozyme from 1 species
AUCCAGAUGACGAAUCCGAAAUAGGAUGAAACAGAUGUCCUAGAU